rnacentral:rRNA from 1 species
GACGUGGGGGGCAAGCGUUGUCCGGAAUUACUGGGCGUCAAGCGCGUGUAGGCGGGCGAUCAGGCGGCGUGUGAAAGACGAGGGCUCAACCCUUGGAGGUCGCGCCGAACCGGUAUUCUUGAGACUGCGAGGGGCGGGUGGAAUGGUUGGAGGAGCGGUGAAAUGCGUAGAGCCCAAUCAGAACACCAGUGGCGAAGGCGGCCCGCUGGAGCAGGACUGACGCUGAGACGCGAAAGCGCGGGGAGCAAACGGG